UAAUACGAAGGGGGCUAGCGUUGUUCGGAAUUACUGGGCGUAAAGCGUAUGUAGGCGGAUCGUUAAGUCGGGGGUGAAAUCCCGAGGCUCAACCUCGGAACUGCCUUCGAUACUGGCGAUCUUCGAGUCCGGGAGAGGUGAGUGGAACUCCGAGUGUAGAGGUGAAAUUCGUAGAUAUUCGGAAGAACACCAGUGGCGAAGGCGGCUCACUGGCCCGGUACUGACGCUGAAAUACGAAAGCGUGGGGAGCAAACAGGAUUAGAUACCCUGGUAGUCCACGCCGUAAACGAUGGGUGCUAGCCGUCGGCAAGUUUACUUGUCGGUGGCGCAGCUAACGCAUUAAGCACCCCGCCUGGGGAGUACGAUCGCAAGAUUA
rnacentral:rRNA from 1 species